GCUGGGCGCGGUGGCUCGUGCCUGUAGUCCCAGCUACUCGGGAGGCUGAGGUGGGAGGAUCGCUUGAGCCUAGGAGUUCUGGGCUGUAGUGCGCUAUGCCGAUCGGGUGUCUGCACUAAGUUCGACAUCAAUAUGGUGACCUCCUGGGAGCAGGGGACCACCAGGUUGCCUAAGGAGGGGUGAAUCGGCCCAGGUCGGAAACGGAGCAGGUCAAAACUCCCAUGCUGAUCAGUAGUGGGAUCGCGCCUGUGAAUAGCCACUGCACUCCAGCGUGGGCAACAUAGUGAGACCUCGUCUCU
rnacentral:SRP_RNA from 1 species